UCUUGGCAUCUUCCAAAAAUGUAGACAAUCCUUAGCAUCUACUAGAUAGUAGCGUAAGACUUCUAAUUACGUACCAAUCACAAUAAAAUUUAAGGAAAAAUCUUGAUAAGAAAAUCAAAAAUUAUGGAAGCUUAUUAUAUUUUAUCUAAUACAAUAAAAAGAAAUGAAAAUAAAGAGCAUCCAAUUUUGCUAAACCAACCAGCACAGACCCCACGCAUAAUGAAAUCUUACUCCAAUUUUGAAACGAACACUGGCCAAGGCAAACCUAAUGACGAUCGGGUGUGUAAGGAGAAAGACAGAUUCUAUCUAGGUAUACCAUCAGAGUAGUAUAUAUCGAAUUUGAAAUAAAUGAUUUAAUAAAACUAUCAUUAAUAAAGAUUACUAAAAUAUCA